rnacentral:rRNA from 1 species
UACGUAGGGGGCAAGCGUUUUCCGGAUUUAUUGGGCGUAAAGAGCGUGUAGGCGGCCUGAAAGGUCAGCUGUGAAAACUCGAGGCUCAACCUCGAGACGUCGGUUGAAACCAUCUGGCUAGAGUCCGGAAGAGGAGUGUGGAAUUCCCGGUGUAGCGGUGAAAUGCGCAGAUAUCGGGAAGAACACCCGUGGCGAAGGCGGCACUCUGGGACGGUACUGACGCUGAGACGCGAAAGCGUGGGGAGCGAACAGG